UAGAGAAGAAAGAGGGGAGAAGAGGACACUUUCAGCUUUCAGUGUAGGAAGAAAGGUGGCACAUCUCACUCUGCGACUCUGCGUAGCAAGUAACAAGCAAAAGAGUUUGGUUUUUGGGCUCAACUAGGCAAGGUGACCGUGAAGGUUAGUAGUGCAUAAAGGAAUUUCUAUGCUUAAAGCUUACUAAGAUUAGAGUGUUGAUCGAGGUUAAGACAAGGGAGGUCACAUUUUGGGGUUAAAGACCAUGGGGUAUUAGUCUAGUGUUUUGUGAUAGAGGAGGACUACCUCUAGUCUUUUUGGGGAGAUCAAAGUCCAUAGUAGGAGCUUGGAUUUCAAGUUGUAAUUUUUGGACCAUGUCUAGAAGCUUAAAUGUGUAUAUUAUAUUUCCAAUUAAGCUAUCUUUGGGAGAAGGAACUUUAAGAACAAGAGGUUGUUUAUGUUA